rnacentral:lncRNA from 1 species
GAGAUGUAUCAAAAUAAAAUUCAAUUCACAAAACUUGUUAUCACACCACCUUAAAUUUUUUACGGUUAUGCGUUGUGGUAAAACUUUCACCACCAAUUCGAUCCAUUUUUCAUCAUCGGUCUCUUCAAAUCUUUUCAAAAUCAAAAUAAAUAUCUCUAAUUAUGUGUGUCAUCUCUAUCGUAUAAUAUACUAUGAUUUCUCAAAUCAAAAUUUAUAUACAAUUUUG